rnacentral:rRNA from 1 species
CAGCAGCCGCGGUAAUACGAAGGGGGCUAGCGUUGCUCGGAAUUACUGGGCGUAAAGGGCGCGUAGGCGGACAGUUAAGUUGGGGGUGAAAGCCCGGGGCUCAACCUCGGAAUUGCCUUCAAUACUGGCUGUCUUGAGUACGGGAGAGGUGAGUGGAACUCCGAGUGUAGAGGUGAAAUUCGUAGAUAUUCGGAAGAACACCAGUGGCGAAGGCGACUCACUGGCCCGUUACUGACGCUGAGGCGCGAAAGCGUGGGGAGCAAACAGGAUUAGAUACCCUGGUAGUCCACGCCGUAAACGAUGAGUGCUAGUUGUCGGCAUGCAUGCAUGUUGGUGACGCAGCUAACGCAUUAAGCACUCCGCCUGGGGAGUACGGUCGCAAGAUUAAAACUCAAAGAAAUUGACGG